AGAACAGCAUUGGUUUUGGCAGAUGUCAAAGAAAGUUGAUCUACGAAACACUAGACUGAUUUUGGCUGCAUCUCUAAGAAGAAGGUGAAGUCAAAAGAGCUUCGUACGACUGAAAAUUGCUGAGAAAAUCGCCGUGAAAAUUAGUCUGCUGAAUGGUAACAGUGCUGUGCAUGAACACCAAGCCGGAGACUGAGGGAAGAUACGAUUUUGUUUGAGGGUCCGGAGUUGCUUUACAAGAGGGAUUGGCGUGAGCUUCUAAUGGCGAAUCAGUUACUAUUUUUGCUGUUCCUUUUUGGAGCAAUCUUUUGUGGGCAAUCCAAGUUCAUAGUGUAUAACACCUCACGGAGCGUAGUUCCCGGUAAGCUAAACGUUCAUCUGGUUCCUCACACCCACGACGACGUUGGUUGGUUGAAGACCGUUGAUCAGUACUAUGUUGGCUCUAAUAAUUCGAUUCAGGGAGCUUGUGUUCAGAAUGUAUUAGAUUCCUUAGUUCCUUCGCUGUUGGCUGACAAGAAUCGGAAAUUUAUCUACGUUGAGAUAGCUUUUUUUCAGCGAUGGUGGAGGGACCAGAGUGAAGCUAUUAAGCAUGUAGUUAAGCAACUUGUCAGCUCGGGUCAAUAGAGUUCAUAAAUGGUGGCAUGUGUAUGCAUGAUGAGGCAGCAACACAUUACAUAGAUAUGAUUGAUCAGACAACAAUGGGACAUCGGUUCCUGAAAGAGGAGUUUGGCGUGACUCCUAGAAUUGGUUGGCAAAUUGAUCCUUUUGGACAUUCUGCUGUGCAGGCUUACUUAUUGGGAUCUGAAGUUGGCUUUGACUCUCUUUUCUUUGGUCGAAUAGAUUAUCAAGAUAGAGCUAAGCGCAAAAAUGAAAAGAGUCUUGAGAUUGUCUGGCAGGGAAGUAAGAGCCUU